rnacentral:tRNA from 1 species
GGUGGUUUAGCUCAGUGGUCAGAGCUUAGGUCUCAUAAUCGAAAGGUUACGGGAUCGAAUCCCGCUAGAGGCUG